AGAUAAUUCAUUGAGUACGAUUCCGGAGACCACCGCUGACCAAACAGAACUAGUUCCGUUUACUGCUAUCGUUACGGACGAUACCACUCCAUACUCAAAAGUAACGACACCUUCUUAUGGCACAGAAGCGCAUACCUCCCCCCAAACAACAG